ensembl:lncRNA
GCCGCACGAUCCGCUUGUCGACCUCCCGAUCCAUCCCGCCCCCACUGUGGCAGGCCGCCUGUCCGGGACCGUGUGUGACGUUUUGAUGAGGAUACGAACACAUCUCCUACUGCAGUCCUACAGAGACCGGAUGGCCCGCUGCAACGGGUCCAGCGCCCCGCACAAAGAAAGCCAGUCGAAUGUCUUCUCCAAGUCCACAAAGCACAGAGUCUCGCCUGACAAUGAAAUACCUCAGCCUCUUCACAAUAGAAGACUUCUCUGAGGAGCAUCGGCUCCCCUUUGGUCCUGUCGGGUUGUUUGCUCGGCCUCGGCCCGGCUGCUCGCCCUCAUCAGGAUCAUCUCCAGCAGAACAAGUAACGGCUGCACGCUUCGUCUCCUCGGUCCAGCUCGCUGUGAAAGCUUUCACAUUCCUGCGAGGCUCGGCACAGACUGCAAAGAGCCUCCAAAGCCGCUAACGCUAACAAGCGCUAACAAGCGCUCCUUUCUGGUUUCCCCUCACAGCUGCUGUGAGCAGCUUUUAAUCACCUUUUGAACACCUCAACACGGAAAACUUUGUUCUGAAAAACUCAUGAAUAAAGUUCUAUUUUUCUGGUUUAAAGCAGAAUCUCAGCAACAAAACUAAGAAAUGACCAGAAAUAAACCAAGAGAGCCGUUGACUUCCCCUACAAUCAGAUCAGAAUUGUAAGUUAUUGAUCCGAGGAGGAGCUGGUAGGUGAAUAUUCUCAACAGUCAUGCUAGCUCGGCAUGUUUUUAUCCUUUCGUGGGAUUGAGAUCUCUUUAAUGUUUCUAAAUUGACUUCCUUCCCGACCCGGGAGUCUUGUUUCCUCCUGGUAGGCUCAUGACCCGGAGCAGAAGCUAAGCGUUUCGCUCCCAGUGGGAUGAACCACUCAUUGAUGUGUGAAAGAGACGAAUGAGCCACGGAGGGAAGAUUAAACCAUCAUCGCCAUUAUUCAUUAGCUUUAGCUAGCUGUCCCUAAUAUCUGCACUCAAAUAAACAUGGCGACAGAAAAAAAAAAAAAAAUGGUCGAUA